UACGUAGGGGGCUAGCGUUGUCCGGAUUUAUUGGGCGUAAAGAGCUUGUAGGCGGUCUGUCGCGUCUGCUGUGAAAAUCCGGGGCUCAACCCCGGACUUGCAGUGGGUACGGGCAGACUAGAGUGUGGUAGGGGAGACUGGAAUUCCUGGUGUAGCGGUGAAAUGCGCAGAUAUCAGGAAGAACACCUAUGGCGAAGGCAGCACUCUGGGACGGUACUGACGCUGAGACGCGAAAGCGUGGGGAGCGAACAGG
rnacentral:rRNA from 1 species